rnacentral:SRP_RNA from 2 species
GCCGGGCAUGGUGGUGCACGCCUGUAAUCCCAGCUACUGAGGAGGCUGAGGCAGGAGAAUCACUUGAACCCAGGAGGCGGAGGCUGCAGUGAGCCGAGAUCGUGCCACUGCACUCCAGCCUGGGAGACAGAGUGAGACUCUGUCUCAA